GACGAACGCUGGCGGCGUGCUUAACACAUGCAAGUCGAGCGAUCUUCUUCGGAAGAGAGCGGCGGACGGGUGAGUAACGCGUGGGUAACCUGCCCUGUACACACGGAUAACAUACCGAAAGGUAUGCUAAUACGAGAUAAUAUGCUUUUAUCGCAUGGUAGAAGUAUCAAAGCUCCGGCGGUACAGGAUGGACCCGCGUCUGAUUAGCUAGUUGGUAAGGUAACGGCUUACCAAGGCGACGAUCAGUAGCCGACCUGAGAGGGUGAUCGGCCACAUUGGAACUGAGACACGGUCCAAACUCCUACGGGAGGCAGCAGUGGGGAAUAUUGCACAAUGGGCGAAAGCCUGAUGCAGCAACGCCGCGUGAGCGAUGAAGGCCUUCGGGUCGUAAAGCUCUGUCCUCAAGGAAGAUAAUGACGGUACUUGAGGAGGAAGCCCCGGCUAACUACGUGCCAGCCGCCGCGGUAA
rnacentral:rRNA from 1 species